rnacentral:rRNA from 1 species
CAGCAAUAGCUCAAAUUUGAAAUCUGGCGUCUUCGGCGUCCGAGUUGUAAUUUGUAGAGGAUGCUUCUGGGCAGCCACCGACCUAAGUUCCUUGGAACAGGACGUCAUAGAGGGUGAGAAUCCCGUAUGUGACUGGCUGCCUUCGCCUAUGUGAAGCUCUUUCGAC